rnacentral:tRNA from 1 species
UCUUUGUUAGUAUAUUGGUUAGUACAUGUGCUUGUCAUGUGCGAAAGCUGGGUUCGACUCCCAGACAGAGAG